UACGUAGGGUGCAGGCGUUGUUCGGAAUUACUGGGCGUAAAGGGCGCGUAGGCGGCCUGUUAAGUCGGACGUGAAAUCCCUCGGCUCAACCGGGGAACUGCGUCCGAUACUGGCGGGCUUGAAUCCGGGAGAGGGAUGUGGAAUUCCAGGUGUAGCGGUGAAAUGCGUAGAUAUCUGGAGGAACACCGGUGGCGAAGGCGACAUCCUGGACCGGUAUUGACGCUGAGGCGCGAAAGCCAGGGGAGCGAACGGG
rnacentral:rRNA from 1 species